rnacentral:rRNA from 1 species
GACGAACGCUGGCGGCGUGCUUAACACAUGCAAGUCGAACGGAAAGGCCCUGCUUUUGUGGGGUGCUCGAGUGGCGAACGGGUGAGUAACACGUGAGUAACCUGCCCUUGACUUUGGGAUAACUUCAGGAAACUGGGGCGAAUACCGGAUAGGAGCUCCUGCUGCAUGGUGGGGGUUGGAAAGUUUCGGCGGUUGGGGAUGGACUCGCGGCUUAUCAGCUUGUUGGUGGGGUAGUGGCGUACCAAGGCUUUGACGGGUAGCCGGCCUGAGAGGGUGACCGGCCACAUUGGGACUGAGGUACGGCCCAGACUCCUACGGGAGACAGCAGUGGGGAAUAUUGCACCAUGGGCGGAAGCCUGAUGCAGCAACGCCGCGUGCGGGAUGACGGCCUUCGGGUUGUAAACCGCUUUCGCCUGUGACGAAGCGUGAGUGACGGUAAUGGGUAAAGAAGCACCGGCUAACUACGUG